UACACGUAUUACGAUCUCCUGGC
rnacentral:piRNA from 1 species